GGUAUAGGAAAUUUAACGACCUUUUAUUAUUUGAAAGGUAUGGAUCAUAUGUAUUUAAAUAUUUUCAACAUACAAACUAUAGAAUUUUUUUUUUUUCAUAACUUAGAGAACUAUUUGUUUUCUUUGGCAUCAUAGUUAAAGGUGUAAGAGUUGCUGUUUGUCAUCACAUCAGAAGAAUAUCAUGAAGGUUCCGUAGAAUAAGGAACUGGAUGAGCAGCAUUCAAACACCAAUAUACUUAGGAGGCAUAGCACUAGAAAAUGGCUGCAACGAUAUUUUGGCAGUAUCUCCACCGGAGUUUGGACACAUGUAGGCAUAUGAACCAACGCCUAUGCGUUUAUCUUUCAGAUGACAAAAUUCUAUUGAAGAUUUGGAAGGAUAGCCUUUCCCACCAAUAAAGGGAGUUUUGGUCUUUGGCAUCUAACUACGAAGCAUAUUGAGUUCUGUAGGUUAGUGCAAGCAUACCUGCUUUUCCAGGAUCAUGAUAGAACUGCAGCGGAAUCAGCAAUAGGAUUCCCAAAGCAAGACAUUUUCUAGCUACUAAAUUUGAAGAUAAUGCGACUUUUAUAUACACUUUUUUUCUAUAGAAAAUGCACAGAAAUUUUUUUUAUGUCAAGUUUGAGUUGGGGAAUACCUCAAUCGCCAAGAGAGAAGUUAUGUAUGCCUGUGUGUAAACUCCAAAUUUUUUUGUAUAUAUGUUUCUGUGACUCAAUAAUUCUUUUGAUAGAAACAGGA
rnacentral:lncRNA from 1 species